GCUGGGCACGGUGGCUCACACCUGUAAUCUCAGCUGCUCAGGACGCUGAGGCACGAGAAUCACUUGACCCCGGGAGGCAGAGGUUGCAGUGAGCCGAAAUUGCACUACUGCACUCCAACCUGGGUGACAGAGCGAGACUGUGGUUUUUUUGUUGUUGUUUUCUUUGUUUUUGUUUUUUGACGGAGUCUUGCUCUGUCACCCAGGUUGGAGUGCAGUAGUGCAAUUUCGGCUCACUGCAACCUCUGCCUCCCGGGGUCAAGUGAUUCUCGUGCCUCAG
rnacentral:SRP_RNA from 1 species